rnacentral:rRNA from 1 species
AAUUCCGUACACCGCUCUCAACUUGGAAUGGUGGGAGCUCGAAACGCUCCGGCGCCGGAGGAUGAGGCUGCGGCCGAUUAGGUUGACGGUGGGGUAAUGGCCCACCGUGCCGAUAAUCGGUCUGGGUCAUGAGAGUGAGAACCCAGAGACGGACUCUGAGACAAGAUUCCGGGCCCUACGGGGCGCAGCAGGCGCGAAACCUUUACACUGCACGCCAGUGCGAUAAGGGGACCCCAAGUGCGCAGGCAUAGUGCCUGCGCUUUUCUGGACUGUAGGGCGGUCCAGGAACAAGGGCUGGGCAAGACCGGUGCCAGCCGCCGCGGUAAUACCGGCAGCCCAAGUGAUGGCCGCUGUUAUUGGGCCUAAAGCGUCCGUAGCUGGCCGCACAAGUCCGUCGGGAAAUCCGCCCGCUCAACGGGCGGCCGUCCGGCGGAACCUGUGUGGCUUGGGACCGGGAGGCCUGAGGGGUACGAUCGGGGUAGGAGUGAAAUCCUGUAAUCCUGGACGGACCACCGGUGGCGAAAGCGCCUCGAGAGGACGGACCCGACGGUGAGGAACGAAAGCCAGGGUCUCGAACCGGAUUAGAUACCCGGGUAGUCCUGGCCGUAAACGAUGUCUGCUAGGUGUGGCGCAGGCUACGAGCCUGCGCUGUGCCGCAGGGAAGCCGUGAAGCAGACCGCCUGGGAAGUACGUCCGCAAGGAUGAAACUUAAAGGAAUUGGCGGGGGAGCACUACAACCGGAGGAGCCUGCGGUUUAAUUGGAGUCAACGCCGGG